AUGGGGGCUGCGGUCCCCCGAAAUCUGGGGAAGCAGCUCCAAGAACCCAGCCGAUGUGAAGGGUCCUGUGGUCGGGCUGGUCAGCCCAAGGCCACUCUCUCGGUCACUCCGUUCCCGCCAUCCUCUGAGGAGCUCCAAGCCAACAAGACCACACUGAUGUGUCUCAUGAGUGACUUCUAUCCAGGAAUCUUGAUGGUGACCUGGAAGGCAGAUGGUACCCCCAUCACCCAGGGCGUGGAGAUGACCACGCCCUCCAAACAGAGCAACAACAAGUACGCGGCCAGCAGCUACCUGAGCCUGACGCCCGAGCAGUGGAGGUCCCGCAGAAGCUACAGCUGCCAGGUCACGCAUGAAGGGAGCACUGUGGAGAAGACAGUGGCCCCUGCAGAAUGUUCGUAGGUUCCCAACCCUCACCCCACCCACAGGGGCCUGGAGCUGCAGGAUCCCAGGGGAGGGAUCUCUCUGCAUCCCAAGCCAUCCAGCCCUUCUCCCUGUACCCAAAAACUCUCAAUAAAUAUCCUUUGUCAACCAGAAA